GGGGAAUUGUUCGCAAUGGGCGCAAGCCUGACGACGCAACGCCGCGUGGAGGAUGAAGAUCUUCGGGUCGUAAACUCCUUUCGAUCGAGACGAACAGCCUUCGGGUAAACAAUCCGGAGGUUUGACGGUACCGAGAGAAGAAGCCCCGGCUAACUCUGUGCCAGCAGCCGCGGUAAUACAGAGGGUGCGAGCGUUGUCCGGAAUCACUGGGCGUAAAGGGCGCGUAGGUGGUGGCUUAAGCGUGCGGUGAAAGCUCGGGGCUCAACUCCGAGUCGGCCGUGCGAACUGGGCUCACUGGAGCAUAGUAGAGGCAGGUGGAAUUCCGGGUGUAGCGGUGGAAUGCGUAGAGAUCCGGAAGAACACCGGUGGCGAAGGCGGCCUGCUGGGCUAUGGCUGACACUGAGGCGCGACAGCGUGGGGAGCAAAC
rnacentral:rRNA from 1 species